AGGAAGUGCACUUCAGAGGGCCGGCACAUUUUUAUAUGGAAACUCAAAGUAAAUGUGGUUCCAAGGAUAGAGAAACGGUCAUACACGUGUCAAGCCAGGAUGCAGCAUUUACACAGACUGGCUUCUUGAAUGGUGGGAAAAUCAUGGCGGCAUUGAACACCACAUCAACGGAGGCUGCAUACCAGGUGGUUCAGAACUGAGUUGGUGAAGCAGAGGAAGAGCUCUCCUUGUUGAAAUCAGCGGCAUACUAGAAGAGACUCAGAGGGAAGAACAGUGCCCAACAGGCAAACUGUGACUAGUUAGUGCUGCGGAAACCAGCCAGAGGACUGUGAGACGGCUCAUGACCAAAGUUGAACAAUAUCGUAUGCAUUUGGGCUUUUCCUUCUCAGUUUUCAUAGAAUGGCACCUUUGCUAUUCACAGGUGGUACACACCUUUUAAUGAAACCAUUGGUUCUGUUCCUAAUAGCAUGAAACGCUGGCUUUAUUUCAGGGGCUUUGGGUAACUCUUCUUGUUAGUGCCUCACUGUUGAAGAUUCCUGUACCAGUGGCAGGAAGAACAGAUUUCUCAUUUUUAUUUCCAGGCUGCUGCUCUGGUUCAUGUCUACGCAGAUGGGUCUGUAUUGGUUGCUCAUGGUAGAGUUGAAUUGGGACAAGGUAUUAAUACCAAAAUGAUACAGGUGAGAGAGGUAGUUUCAGUUUUGCCAUUGGCCAAAAUUAGACUUCAUAAAAUAUUCCCAGACACUGUAUUAUGCUGCUUUGGAGCUUUGUGAUACAAUGACCAAAGUCACCUACAAGUGUCCCUAGGAGCUCAUUCUGGAUUACUGGGAAAUAAGCCCGCUGGGACUUGGGAAGGGGGCUUUCCUCCCUUAUCUCUCACCAAAAUUCCACUUCCCCAGGGACCGGUGGCUUCCUUCCCUCGGGCAGAAGUUCUAUAACUUCUCAUGGGUUCCUAAGUCCAGCAGGCCUCUCUGUGGGUCAUGAAAGGAUGGAGAAUCUAUGCUUUCUCUUGGUGGCCAGCCAUGAAUUAAAGAUACCAAUGUCUUCCAGACACCUUGGCUACAUGAAUACCAUGACAGUGCCCAACACAAUUCUCAUGGCAGCCUCUACUAGUACAGAUGCCCAUGGAAAAGCUGUGCAGGUCAUAGAGAAGAAUGCUGAUCCUGAAGUAAACCUACUAUACUACCUGAGGAAAGUCCGUAUCCUUGUGUUUUACUGUAAUGAAUCUGGACUGGGUGGUAAAAAG
ensembl:lncRNA